CUGCGUGCCUGCCACCAGCUGCACCAGGAGGGCAAGUUUGUGGAGCUGGGCAUCUCCAACUAUGCCGCCUGGGAGGUGGCUGAGAUCUGCACCCUCUGCAAGAGCAAUGGCUGGAUCAUGCCCACCGUGUACCAGGGCUUGUACAACGCCCUCACCCGACGGGUGGAGACGGAGCUCUUCCCCUGCCUGAGGCACUUUGGACUGAGGUUCUACGCCUACAACCCUCUGGCUGGGGGCCUGCUGACCGGCAAGUACAAGUACGAGGACAAGGACGGGAAACAGCCUGCGGGCCGCUUCUUUGGGUAUAAGUGGGCUGAGUUCUACAGGAAUC